UACGGAGGGUGCGAGCGUUGUCCGGAAUCAUUGGGCGUAAAGGGCGCGUAGGUGGCCCGGUCAGCGUGCGGUGAAAGCUCGGGGCUCAACCCCGAGUCGGCCGUGCGAACUGCUGGGCUUGAGCACUGUAGAGGCAGGCGGAAUUCCGGGUGUAGCGGUGGAAUGCGUAGAGAUCCGGAAGAACACCGGUGGCGAAGGCGGCCUGCUGGGCAGUGGCUGACACUGAUGCGCGAAGCCAGGGGAGCGAACGGG
rnacentral:rRNA from 1 species